GAGCAAUGAUGUGAAAUUACAUGUCCAGAAGUGCGUUUUAUUAAAAUGCAUUUCAUGAUGGUUUCUACACUUGAACUGAGCUCA
rnacentral:snoRNA from 1 species